rnacentral:rRNA from 1 species
AUUUGAAAUCUGGUACUUUCAGUGCCCGAGUUGUAAUUUGUAGAAUUUGUCUUUGAUUAGGUCCUUGUCUAUGUUCCUUGGAACAGGACGUCAUAGAGGGUGAGAAUCCCGUUUGGCGAGGAURCCUUUUCUCUGUAAGACUUUUUCKAAGAGUCSAGUUGUUUGGGAAUGCAGCUCAAAGUGGGUGGUAAAUUCCAUCUAAAGCUAAAUAUUGGCSAGAGACCGAUWGCGAACAAGUACAGUGAUGGAAAGAUGAAAAGAACUUUGAAAAGAGAGUGAAAAAGUACGUGAAAUUGUUGAAAGGGAAKGGCAUUUGAUCARACAUGGUGUUUUUUGCAUGCACUCKCCUCUCRUGGGCUUGGGCCUCUCAAAAAUUUCACUGGGCCAACAUCAAUUCUGGCAGCAGGAUAAAUCAUUAAGAAUGUAGCUACUUCSGUAGUGUUAUAGCUUUUUGGAAUACUGUUAGCCGGGAUUGASGACUGCSCUUCSGCWAGGAUGUUGGCAUAAUGGUKAAAUGCCGCCCGUCUUGAAC